rnacentral:rRNA from 1 species
AGCUCCAAUAGCGUAUAUUAAAGUUGUUGCAGUUAAAAAGCUCGUAGUUGGAUCUCGGGAGCAGGCCGGCGGUCCGCCUCGCGGCGGUUUAUUCCCGUCCUUCCCCCCCCGCCCGGUUUUCCCCCGGGCUCUUUCUUGAGUGGCCCCGGGUGGCCGGAACGUUUACUUUGAAAAAAUUAGAGUGUUCAAAGCAGGCAGUUCGCCUGAAUAAUGGUGCAUGGAAUAAUGGAAUAGGACCUCGGUUCUAUUUUGUUGGUUUUCGGAACUUGAGGUAAUGAUUAAGAGGGACAGACGGGGGCAUUCGUAUUACACUGUUAGAGGUGAAAUUCUUGGAUCGGUGUAAGACGAACUACUGCGAAAGCAUUUGCCAAGAAUGUUUUCA